AUUAUAAUUAUAAUAUAAUUAUAAUAUAAUUAUAAUAUAAUAAUUUAAUUUUAAUCCCUAAUUUUAAUA
rnacentral:tRNA from 1 species